rnacentral:tRNA from 1 species
CAGGGAGACAACAAAAUGUUUAAUAUUAUUAUUUUGUCACCUUAGGUCGAUCGGUAUCUCACGUUUUUAAUUUAUUAAAAAUUUCAUUUCCUAAGUUUUUCUAGGUCACACCCAUUAUUUUUCCUGGGCCAUUAGCUCAGGUGGUUAGAGCGCACCCCUGAUAAGGGUGAGGUCCCUGGUUCAAGUCCAGGAUGGCCCAUAUCUCUAUGUUGGGGGUAUAGCUCAGUUGGUAGAGCGCCUGCUUUGCAAGCAGGAUGUCAGCGGUUCGAGUCCGCUUACCUCCACUGAUUACCACCUCUUUCAUAACAGGUAGAUAAGGAAAUGUUUUGAGUAGUGAUCAAAUUCUGAAAGAAUCUAGCUUCCUAAUGAAAUCAUUAAGAUGCUGGACUCAUUGAAUUAAUUUCAUUGUUUUCAGAGAACCUUGACAACUGCAUAGACUAUUUUUAAAGACAAUAAGCAUCUUUAAUGAUGCAGAUUUAUUAUUUGUGCGAAUGCAUUAAUAACAAUUCUAUUAAGCUGAUGCUUCGAUUUUUGAAGUUAUU